rnacentral:rRNA from 1 species
AACGAACGCUGGCGGCGCGCCUAAUACAUGCAAGUCGAGCGAGAAGACGUAGCAAUACGUUUGUAAAGCGGCGAACGGGUGAGGAAUACAUGGGUAACCUACCCUCGAGUGGGGAAUAACUAGCCGAAAGGUUAGCUAAUACCGCGUACGCUCCUUGGACUUCGGUUCAGGGAGGAAAGCGAUACCGUGGGUAUCGCGCUCUUGGAUGGGCUCAUGUCCUAUCAGCUUGUUGGGAGGUAACGGCUCACCAAGGCUUCGACGGGUAGCUGGUCUGAGAGGACAAUCAGCCACACUGGCACUGCGACACGGGCCAGACUCCUACGGGAGGCAGCAGUAAGGAAUAUUGCGCAAUGGGCGAAAGCCUGACGCAGCGACGCCGCGUGGGGGAUGAAGGUCUUCGGAUUGUAAACCCC